rnacentral:lncRNA from 1 species
GCAGUUAAUCUCUUCUUUUUGAUCAGAUUCACUUGGUCGUAACGACUCUGAAUCCAUUCAGCAUCAGUCAACUUGGGACUUUGAGGGUGCUAUUAUUCUUUUGUUUCUUUCCUUCUUUUUUCUUUUCUUGAUUUCCGAUUUCUUUUUAUUUCUUUUGAUUUCUUUUGAUUUUUUUUGAUUUUGCACCCUCCUCUUCCUUUUUUUCUCUUUUUUUAUUUUGUUUGUAAUGCCCCAGUUGGCUGUCCUGCUGAUUCUCGAGAUGCAGCUGAGUGAUCUUCUUUUCUUG